GCCAGCAGCCGCGGUAAUACGUAGGGACCGAGCGUUGUUCGGAAUUAUUGGGCGUAAAGGGUAUGUAGGCGGUCUAUUAAGUUAGAUGUGAAAAAUCUGGGCUCAACCGAGAUCUUGCGUCUAAUACUGAUAGGCUAGAGUCUCUGAGAGGAAGGCGGAAUUCCUGGUGUAGGGGUGAAAUCUAUAGAUAUCAGGAAGAACACCGGUUGCGAAGGCGGCCUUCUGGCAGAGGACUGACGCUGAGGUACGAAAGUUAGGGUAGCAAACAGGAUUAGAGACCCUGGUAGUCCUAACCGUAAACGUUGUAUACUAGGUGGUUGAAGUAUUGAUCCUUUGACUGCCGCAGCAAACGCAUUAAGUAUACCGCCUGGGGAGUAUGCCGGCAACGGUGAAACUCAAAGGAAUUGACGGGGCCCCGCACAGGCAGUGGAGCAUGUUGCUUAAUUCGAUGAUACGCGAGUAACCUUACCAGGUCUUGACAUAUACCUGUCUGGUGUAGAAAUACAUCAUUGCUUCGGCACGGGUAUACAGGUGCUGCAUGGUUGUCGUCAGCUCGUGCCGUGAGGUGUUGGGUUAAGUCCCGCAACGAGCGCAACCCUUAUUCUUUGUUGCUAACAGGUUAAGCUGAGCACUCUAAGGAGACUGCCGGUGACAAACCGGAGGAAGGUGGGGACGACGUCAAAUCAUCACGGCCCUUAUGACCUGGGCUGCAAACGUGCUACAAUGGGUGGUACAAAGAGUUGCGAGACCGCGAGGUGGAGCUAAUCUCAAAAAACUAUCCUCAGUUCGGAUUGGAGUCUGAAACCCGACUCUAUGAAGU
rnacentral:rRNA from 1 species